GCGCAAAGAGCCGGGGGCCAGCUCUUGGAGGGCCUGGAGACCCCACGUGGUCCCGACCGAAGGACCUGUGGACAUCCAAAGGUGAUACAGCUGGAAAAAGGAUCUUCAUCCAAGACAAAGAGAAACAAAGUCGAUAGGAAAGUGAUGAAAGGCAUCAAGCAAAGUGAAGAUGCAAAUGAGAAAACAAGAUCAGAAGACAGGAAUAUCUGAAACAAGUCACAAAUGCAUAGUAUGACCUCUCAGGUAAGGACCAGGGCUGGAUCAUCCCAGGAUGUUCAAGGCAUACUCUCAGGGGGCGCUGUGUUAUACUGAGAUCUUGCUAGGCAAAAACAUGGUUUUUGUCUUUUCUGUUGAAAAGGUACCUUUUGGGAGGCCAGGCGCGGUGGCUUACUCCUGUAAUCCCAGCACUUUGGGAGGCUGAGGCGGGCGGAUCACCUGAGGUAGGGAGUUCAAGACCAGCCUGACCAACAUGGAGAAACCCCUUCUCUACUAAAAAUACAAAAUUAGCCAGGUGUGGUGGCACAUGCCUGUAAUGCCAGCUACUUGGGAGGCUGAGGCAGGAGAAUCGUUUAAACUCAGGAGGUGGAGGUGGCGGUGAGCCGAGAUCAUGCCAUUGCACUCCAGCUUGAGCAAAAAGAGCAAAAUUCCGUCUCAAAAAAAAAAAAAAAAAAGAAAGAGAAAGAAAGAAAAAGAAAAGAAAAGGUACCUUUUGGGAAGAAGCAUUAAAAAAAUUUUUUUUUUCCGCUGGCAGUAUUUAGGAAGAAGAAUUCUAUUUAUUACUUCAGUAGAGUAACAUGCUUUACUAAAAUAAGCUUCCAUUCUACAUGGUUUUUUUUUUUUUUUUUUAGACAGAGUCUCACUCUGUUGCCCAGGCUGGAGUGCAGUGGUGCGAUCUCGGCUCACUGCAACCUCUGCCUCCUGGGUUCGAGUGUUUCUCCUGCCUCAGCCUCCCGAGUAGCUGGGACUACAGGAGUACACCACCACACCCGGCUAAUUUUUGUAAUUUUAGUAGAGACGGGGAUUUCACCAUAUUGGUCAGGCUGGUCUCGAACUCCUGACCUCAGGUGAUCCACCUGCCUUGGCCUCCCAAAGUGCUGGGAUUACAGGCAUGAACCACUGCGCCUGGCCCAUGAUUGUUCUUAAAAUAAGAAACACCACAUAAUAUUCAGUGUUCCUUAUUUUGAAGGGCUCUUUAUUUGGUUAUAUUUUAGGCAUAUGAAGCUAUUUCAUAAUCCCAAAAGGGGUAUUUAAUGAGAUUUAGAAUUGAUAGUCUUCUGUUGAUAUAUAUUUAUAGUUAUUUAUACACAUAUUUGUAUGUUCUUAAAAUAAAAUGUUCAAAGUUUUUGAUUCAAAUGUAACAUGUCUAAAAUUGAAAUCAUUGUUUUUUUGUUUUUUUUUUUUCACAACUCAAACCCUCUUCUUUUCCCAUAAACACCAUAUUGGGAAAUGGCACCACCAUGGGCAUAGUUGCUCAAGCUAGAAGGAUGGGGGUAUUUUGGCUCAUCCCCUUCACUCUUCACAUCUAAUUAAUUCCCUCUUUUGAGUAACAUUUACUAAGUGCCAGGCCUUCUGCUAGUCUUUCGUGAAGCUUGGAGUUAGAGUGAGAGACCGAUAUUACUCAAAUGAUCUUGCCAGUGAAUGUACAAGUUACAGGUGGAGAUAAGUGCUCUGCAGAAAGGAGCAUGACUCUUGUGAGAGAAACAGAAGACCAUGUUCUGAACUGGGAAUCAAGGAAGACUUCCCUGAGGACGUGACCCUUGUUUGGACUCUAUUCUGUUUAUGCUAAGGAUUUUAAUAAGGAGCAGGUGAUGGACAUGAUCCAGCGUACAUUUUUAGAGGAAUAUCAUGAGUCCUAUCACUUCAUCUCCUAAAUAUUUCUGACAUCUGUUCUCUUUCCUCCAUCCUCACGACCUUCACUGGCAUGGGCCUCCAACAGCUCACUGUGGGGGAAGUUUCCCUCAAAGGGCACUGAUAACACAUCUUAUUAAAACUAUACCACAUCAUUAUA
rnacentral:lncRNA from 1 species